GGGGAAUUUUGGACAAUGGGGGAAACCCUGAUCCAGCCAUUCCGCGUGAGUGAAGAAGGCCUUCGGGUUGUAAAGCUCUUUCAGCAGGAACGAAACGGCAGGCUUUAAUACAGCCUGCUAACGACGGUACCUGCAGAAGAAGCACCGGCUAACUACGUGCCAGCAGCCGCGGUAAUACGUAGGGUGCGAGCGUUAAUCGGAAUUACUGGGCGUAGAGCGUGCGCAGGCGGCGGCAUAAGACAGAUGUGAAAUCCCCGGGCUCAACCUGGGAACUGCGUUUGUGACUGUGCUGCUAGAGUGUAGCAGAGGGGGGUGGAAUUCCACGUGUAGCAGUGAAAUGCGUAGAGAUGUGGAGGAACACCGAUGGCGAAGGCAGCCCCCUGGGUUAACACUGACGCUCAUGCACGAAAGCGUGGGGAGCAAAC
rnacentral:rRNA from 1 species